rnacentral:lncRNA from 1 species
AUUUCUCUCUGGAAUUUUUAUUUUUCUACUUUCAUUUCUUAAGGCUUUUCGCAUCCCUACUCAAAUACUUCAUUUCCCUACUUUACAAAUCCCUAACCCUAUCACGUCUCUUGCAGCCUCUCUCUUAUCUCAUCUGGGCUUUCCAUGUCUCGUUCACUGAGAGGGCUUUUGCCUUCCAAUUUCUUUGCCACUCGCUGCUGGUUACCUCCCUCCUACCUCUUUAUCCCAUUUCUAUUAUUGGCUAUUGCUUUCAAUGCUGGUUACUCUUUUAUAUAUAAUAGACAGAGGGUCAUUUUGUUACUGUAGUGAACAAGGUAAGGUUUUUGUUAUUUCAUUUGUCUAUCUGUUAUAUUUAAAUACUAUUGUCGUGGAAUGCCCUUUUCAUUUGAAACGUUCGUACUUCAAAUUGGUGCAGGUUUUUUAUGGUUUAAAACUCUAAUUUGCUGGGUCAUGUUUUAAAGAUGGGCUUUUUUUCUAUGAGUGAUUUUGUCAAUUAUUUGGGCUUACUAGUUCAUUUCAGUAGUUGUUAGCUCCCGCUUUUUGUUAUUUUUGUCCGUACUUUAGAUGGUAUUAUUAAGUUUAUGCCUUUUUCCUUGGAAAUGAAAUAUAUGAACAAUACAAGGAUUACAUAGUGAUGCCAGGAUUUUUAAGUAUAGAGACGAGUGAUUCACAGCAAGAGUCAUGUUUGAUACACCUUCAGCUGAAAUUUAUUAAAAUAAGAGUACUCGGGUGCUGCUUAUGGAUUUGGUUAAUGUGGUGGAUAUUCAUGGAAGCCAUGGGGUUGAAUUAUUUGUUGGAUAUUAUAGUGAUACAUGAGCAACUUCUCAUCCCCCCCCCCCCGUUUGUUACAAAAUUCAAAAUAUGUAUUUUAGUGCUAUUUAAUUUUUAAAUCAAACUCUGUUUGGGUUCUUUCAGAAUUUGAAACCUGCUAUCCCUGAUUAUUGUCCCCUUGCCAUGAGGGCGUUGAUUGAUCAUUGUUGGUCUGUGCAACCGGACAAGAGUCCCAAGUUUUGGCAGAUUGUGAAAGAUCAUGCAUUUGUGCCUAUUGUUGUCAUUAAUAACUCAGGUGAUUGUAUUUGUGCUGUUCAUCCCUUGUGCUGCCUCUAUAUAUAUGAUUUUCUUUUCAUACCAAAACCAUCGGUAGUGCAAUUUUUUAUGUUUAUGUCUCAUGUUUGAAUCCCCCCCUCUCUCUUUCUUCUGCAGCACGAUAAUGCCUUUGGCGAUAGCCGUGAUACAAAGAAAGUUAACAUUCCUAGAUAUGCUGUAAGUCUCUUGAUAUGGCAUUAGUUUAUACUCUACUUUUAUGAAUCAUUCAGUUAAUUGAGUGGAAUUGUAGUUUCAUUUAUAAAAUUAUGCUUCUUUAGUGAAUGCUUUAAGCUUGUAUGCCAAACAAAGAAAAAUCGACAUUGUAUCCUGCAGUUUUUUGUGUUUAUUAGACUUUAGUCAUUGCCACGAGCAUAUAUAUUAAGUGGUGUUUCUCUUCUUGUUAAUAGAUUGUACUCCGCUUUAUUUGGCUGUUAUUUGCAGUAUAUUUUGCCAGAUUUAUAUUAAGGCUAUGCAUGGAUGAAAGGAUAGAAAACGAGGAGAGACAGAUAAUUGCAAUAUGGAUUUUCUGUCCUUUAAGGAGACAAAACUAUUGUCCUUCCUUUGGCUGGGAAUAGGGGUGGAAAAUGAGAGGAAAAGAAGAAAAUAUUAGAGAUGAAAAAUAAUUGUUCUUUUCCUCCCACUUUUCAUUCCAUACAAACAACAAAAAUUACUGCCCUUUCAUUUUUUAUACUUCCAUUUUCAAAUCAACCAAUACUUUCUGCCUUACCAAAUUCCAGAGGAAGAUGUAUGAUAGUGAUAGAAAUUCCUUAGGCUCUUAAUCUUUUUUAGUUGCGAUCUGUCCCUCUUUUCAAAUCAGGCCUUAAGUAAUUAAUCCUCCUUAACCUGCAGCUCUUUCCACACCAUUGAAGCCCUUCAAGAUUAUCACACAAUAGUGUGAUCAGAAACGAAAAACACGAAAAUAAAAUCGAAAAUGGCUGGCGAAAAAUAAAGUUAUUACCAGCUAGUUUAGGGACAGAACUCCAAAAUCGUCCAUAUUUAGUGUGCUUUAUAAGUUUUUCAUCUUCUUCAAGAGACCACAGGCCUUUCCUUAACUACAUAAAUACCCAACUUAAAAGUUCGGCUUAGGUCUCAAAAUCUCAAUUACAGCCUUGGUUGAGUUAUUCUGUAAAUAUGAAUAUAUGAUUAGUCAACGUGGGAAUUUGUAUAUAUAUAUAUACAAAUUUGUAUAUGAUUAGUCAACGUGAGUUAUUCUCAAUAUAUAUAUAUAUAUUUAUAUGUAUGUAUGUAUAUAUAUAUUGAUCUUCCCAAGGUCCUUAACGAAAUUCUUCAUAUUAGACAAUGUCCAGGUAUAUCUCUCUCUUCCCCUCUCUCUUUAUCAUUCCUAAAUUCAAAAACUAUAAAUUUCCAAAUACGAACUUUUCUAUAUUGUUCGUUAAGGAAAUUCUACCCAAAUGAGUGAUAGAGUUGGAGCUAUAUUUCUAAUGAAGAGAAAGGUUCUAAUGAAGAGGAGUGUUACAAUGCUGAAAGGAAUUCCUAUCUUUUGUGUAUUCAAGGGCUUAAAUCUUAUGUAACUAAUGCUUAACGCAAAUAAAUUUUUUUGUGUAUCUACGCUAUUAAGUAGCCAACUAUACUAUAGCACUGCCUUGCACAUGUAUUUAAAAAUAUGUAAUGAAAUUAUCAAUUUUUAUGUAAUU